rnacentral:rRNA from 1 species
AUGGCCGCCAGCCCGUCUGCCUCCCCGGCUCCCACCGGCGCGCGCGUCCGGGACACCAUGUCCAGGCACUCAACGGUGCUCGUCAGGGGCACGCACCAGUUCAGCAUCGUCGGCUUCAGUCUACACCAGAGGGCCGGCGUCGGAAACUUCAUCCGAUCCGAUGCCUUUGAGGUCGGAGGUCACAGCUGGGCAAUCAGAUGCUACCCCGCCGGCAAUAGAGAGGAAGAAGAAGGGUACCUAUCACUGUACCUGGAGGUGUUGAGCACCCCUGCUUUAGAGAAGACCACUGUGAAGUACAGCUUCGAGAUCAAUGGCCCUGCCGGAACUUCGCCGCUUCUUGCCCAGCCGUGCGCAUGGGACGACUUCACCACCGAUAACAUAUCAUGGGGGUACAAAAAGUAUGUCAAGGUAGAUUCUCUUGAUUCGCGGUACUUGAGGAACGACUGCCUCGUAGUGCGUUGCACCGUCGAGGUUCAGGAGUCGAAGACCGGAGCGACCACGUCCAGCUCCAUCGCGGUGCCGCCCUCCGGUAUCCGCCAGGACCUCGCGCGGCUCCUGGACAGCAAGCGGGGGGCGGACGUGACCUUUCAGGUCGGCGGGAACGACUACGCCGCGCACAAGGCGGUGGUCGCGAUGCGGUCGCCGGUCUUCUGCGCUCAGUUCUUCGGGGCACUGGCGGACAAGCCCGGCAGCCGCCACGUGAGGAUCCACGACAUGAAACCCGCGGCCUUCGAGGCCGUGCUCCACUUCAUCUAUACGGACGCCUUGCCCCCUGUCUUCAAGGACGACUCGAAGCAGAGCCACAGAGAGAUGAUGUGCGACUGGCUUGCGGCGGCGGACCGGUACGGCCUGGAGAGGAUGAGGCUGCUGUGCGAGAGCGCGCUGCACGAGACCAUUGACGUGGAGAACGCCGCGUGGACGCUGGAGCUGGCGGACCGGCACCAUUGCCCACAGCUCAAGGCUUUCUGCGUGGAUUACAUCGUGUCUCCUGGUGUCCUGACGGAUGUGAUGGCAACCGAGGGGUACAAGCAGCUAAAGACGAAUUGCCCAUCUCUUCUUGUUGAUGUCCUGGAGAAAUUAACUUGGAAGUAG